rnacentral:tRNA from 1 species
GGAGGGAUGACGGAGCGGUUGAACGUGCCCGACUCGAAAUCGGGUAGGCGGGCAAAAACCCGUCUCGUGGGUUCAAAUCCCACUCCCUCCGCCA